AUUGAACGCUGGCGGCAGGCCUAACACAUGCAAGUCGAGCGGAUGAAGGGGGCUUGCUCCUGGAUUCAGCGGCGGACGGGUGAGUAAUGCCUAGGAAUCUGCCUGGUGGUGGGGGAUAACGUCCGGAAACGGGCGCUAAUACCACAUACGUCCUGAGGGAGAAGGAGGGGGAUCUUCGGACCUCACGCUAUCAGAUGAGCCUAGGUCGGAUUAGCUAGUUGGUGGGGUAAAGGCCUACCAAGGCGACGAACCGUAACUGGCCUUAGAGGAUGAUCAGCCACACGGGAACUGAGAAACGGUCCAGCCUCCUACGGGAGGCAGCAGUGGGGAAUAUUGGAAAAUGGGCGAAAGCCUGAUCCAGAAAUCCGGGGUGUGUGAAGAAGGUCUUCGGAUUGAAAAGCACUUUAAGUUGGGAGGAAGGGCAGUAAGUUAAUACCUUGCUGUUUUGACGUUACCAUCAGAAAAAGCACCGGCUAACUUCGUG
rnacentral:rRNA from 1 species